CUGAAUGGGGCAACCCACCUGAUAUUCUAUUAUUGUUAACCGCAAGGUUGCUCAAUAGUAGGGUAAACCAGGUACUUUUAGACUGAAUACAUAGGUUUAAAAGAGCAAACCCGGGGAACUGAAACAUCUAAGUACCCGGAGGAAAGGAAAUCAAUUGAUACUCCGCUAGUAGUGGCGAGCGAACGCGGAUCAGCCGAGCCAGAUAAGUGACCAGAACAUGUUGGGAAGCAUGGCCAUAGCGGGUGAUAGCCCCGUAUGGGAAGCUUUGAUGGACGUAUUAAGUAGGGCGGAACACGUGAAAUUCUGUCUGAAGAUCGGAGGACCACCUUCGAAGGCUAAGUACUCCUUACUGACCGA
rnacentral:rRNA from 1 species